rnacentral:rRNA from 1 species
UACGUAGGGGGCAAGCGUUGUCCGGAAUCAUUGGGCGUAAAGAGCGUGUAGGCGGCUCGAUAAGUCUGCUGUGAAAGUCCAGGGCUCAACCCUGGAAGGCCGGUGGAAACUGUCGGGCUAGAGUCCGGAAGAGGCGAGUGGAAUUCCCCGGUGUAGCGGUGAAAUGCGCAGAUAUCGGGAGGAACACCAAUGGCGAAGGCAGCUCGCUGGGACGUUACUGACGCUGAGACGCGAAAGCGUGGGGAGCAAACAGG